UUUCUAGGAGUGCUGGUUCUAAUCCACUGUGGCCCAUCUUAGGUGGUCGACCUUCCAAUGUUGAUAUUCCCUUAUGCAACUAUUGUGGUGGUCGCCUAUGUUUCGAAUUUCAGAUAUUGCCUCAGUUGCUUUAUUACUUUGAUGUGAAGAAUGAUGCUGGUUCUCUUGACUGGGCAACGAUCGUGGUAUAUACAUGUGAAGCCUCUUGUGAAGGUGUAGGUUACAAACAGGAAUUUGCCUGGGUACAACUUAGUACUACUAAUUGCCCUUCAUGGUGUGUUUU